rnacentral:rRNA from 1 species
AUGACUAAAAACAACUUAGCAAAAAGAGGGAUCCUGAAACCCCCUGAGUGUGAUUUCUGCAAUGAAACUGAAAGCAUCAAUCACUUAUUCUUUGAUUGUGUGGUGGCCAAACAGAUUUUGCUUUUGGCUUCUGAGUUCCUUGGUGUUAAUCUAGGACAUGACUACCUCUCUAUUGCAAAGUUUUGGCCUGCCAACAAUAAGAAGAGUGCUUUGAACUCUAUUUGUUCCUGUGUGCUGUGGUGCAUCUGGAAAUUCAGGAACUCGAUGAUUUUUGACAAUGUGUAUUGGACUGAUAUCAAACAGGUGUGGCUACUGAUUCUGAGGAGAAUGAGAAAGUGGUUGAUCCUCUACAAGGAGGAAUCCCUACUGAAAGUGGAAAACUUCUGUGGGUGA